rnacentral:rRNA from 1 species
AGUGGACGCUGGCGGUAGGCCUAACACAUGCAAGUCGAACGGCAGCACAGUAAGAGCUUGCUCUUACGGGUGGCGAGUGGCGGACGGGUGAGGAAUACAUCGGAAUCUACUUUUUCGUGGGGGAUAACGUAGGGAAACUUACGCUAAUACCGCAUACGACCUACGGGUGAAAGCAGGGGAUCUUCGGACCUUGCGCGAUUGAAUGAGCCGAUGUCGGAUUAGCUAGUUGGCGGGGUAAAGGCCCACCAAGGCGACGAUCCGUAGCUGGUCUGAGAGGAUGAUCAGCCACACUGGAACUGAGACACGGUCCAGACUCCUACGGGAGGCAGCAGUGGGGAAUAUUGGACAAUGGGCGCAAGCCUGAUCCAGCCAUACCGCGUGGGUGAAGAAGGCCUUCGGGUUGUAAAGCCCUUUUGUUGGGAAAGAAAAGCAGCAGGCUAAUACCCCGCUGUUCUGACGGUACCCAAAGAAUAAGCACCGGCUAACUUCGUG